AGACCCGAAACCCGGUGAUCUAGCCAUGGGCAGGUUGAAGGUUGGGUAACACUAACUGGAGGACCGAACCGACUAAUGUUGAAAAAUUAGCGGAUGACCUGUGGCUGGGGGUGAAAGGCCAAUCAAACCGGGAGAUAGCUGGUUCUCCCCGAAAGCUAUUUAGGUAGCGCCUCGUGAAUUCAUCUCCGGGGGUAGAGCACUGUUUCGGCUAGGGGGCCAUCCCGGCUUACCAACCCGAUGCAAACUGCGAAUACCGGAGAAUGUUAUCACGGGAGACACACGGCGGGUGCUAACGUCCGUCGUGAAGAGGGAAACAACCCAGACCGCCAGCUAAGGUCCCAAAGUCAUGGUUAAGUGGGAAACGAUGUGGGAAGGCCCAGACAGCCAGGAUGUUGGCUUAGAAGCAGCCAUCAUUUAAAGAAAGCGUAAUAGCUCACUGGUCGAGUCGGCCUGCGCGGAAGAUGUAACGGGGCUAAACCAUGCACCGAAGCUGCGGCAGCGAACGUAUCACCCAAGACAACUUUACGGAGUUGACGAUUGACGGAGCGAAGCGACGUCAAAGCGUUCAUUAAAGUCGAGUUGGCUUAGGGAUACGUUCGUUGGGUAGGGGAGCGUUCUGUAAGCCUGUGAAGGUGUGUCGUGAGGCAUGCUGGAGGUAUCAGAAGUGCGAAUGCUGACAUAAGUAACGAUAAAGCGGGUGAAAAGCCCGCUCGCCGGAAGACCAAGGGUUCCUGUCCAACGUUAAUCGGGGCAGGGUGAGUCGACCCCUAAGGCGAGGCCGAAAGGCGUAGUCGAUGGGAAACGGGUUAAUAUUCCCGUACUUGGUGUUACUGCGAAGGGGGGACGGAGAAGGCUAUGUUGGCCGGGCGACGGUUGUCCCGGUUUAAGGGUGUAGGUGUGUGUUCCAGGUAAAUCCGGUUCACUUUAACACUGAGGCGUGACGACGAGGCACUACGGUGCUGAAGCAACAAAUGCCCUGCUUCCAGGAAAAGCCUCUAAGCAUCAGGUAACAUCAAAUCGUACCCCAAACCGACACAGGUGGUCAGGUAGAGAAUACCAAGGCGCUUGAGAGAACUCGGGUGAAGGAACUAGGCAAAAUGGUGCCGUAACUUCGGGAGAAGGCACGCUGACACGUAGGUGAAGUGAUUUACUCAUGGAGCUGAAGUCAGUCGAAGAUACCAGCUGGCUGCAACUGUUUAUUAAAAACACAGCACUGUGCAAACACGAAAGUGGACGUAUACGGUGUGACGCCUGCCCGGUGCCGGAAGGUUAAUUGAUGGGGUCAGCGUAAGCGAAGCUCCUGAUCGAAGCCCCGGUAAACGGCGGCCGUAACUAUAACGGUCCUAAGGUAGCGAAAUUCCUUGUCGGGUAAGUUCCGACCUGCACGAAUGGCGUAAUGAUGGCCAGGCUGUCUCCACCCGAGACUCAGUGAAAUUGAACUCGCUGUGAAGAUGCAGUGUACCCGCGGCAAGACGGAAAGACCCCGUGAACCUUUACUAUAGCUUGACACUGAACAUUGAGCCUUGAUGUGUAGGAUAGGUGGGAGGCUUUGAAGUGUGGACGCCAGUCUGCAUGGAGCCGACCUUGAAAUACCACCCUUUAAUGUUUGAUGUUCUAACGUGGACCCGUAAUCCGGGUUGCGGACAGUGUCUGGUGGGUAGUUUGACUGGGGCGGUCUCCUCCUAAAGAGUAACGGAGGAGCACGAAGGUUGGCUAAUCCUGGUCGGACAUCAGGAGGUUAGUGCAAUGGCAUAAGCCAGCUUGACUGCGAGCGUGACGGCGCGAGCAGGUGCGAAAGCAGGUCAUAGUGAUCCGGUGGUUCUGAAUGGAAGGGCCAUCGCUCAACGGAUAAAAGGUACUCCGGGGAUAACAGGCUGAUACCGCCCAAGAGUUCAUAUCGACGGCGGUGUUUGGCACCUCGAUGUCGGCUCAUCACAUCCUGGGGCUGAAGUAGGUCCCAAGGGUAUGGCUGUUCGCCAUUUAAAGUGGUACGCGAGCUGGGUUUAGAACGUCGUGAGACAGUUCGGUCCCUAUCUGCCGUGGGCGCUGGAGAACUGAGGGGGGCUGCUCCUAGUACGAGAGGACCGGAGUGGACGCAUCACUGGUGUUCGGGUUGUCAUGCCAAUGGCACUGCCCGGUAGCUAAAUGCGGAAGAGAUAAGUGCUGAAAGCAUCUAAGCACGAAACUUGCCCCGAGAUGAGUUCUCCCUGAGACUUAGAGUCUCCUGAAGGAACGUUGAAGACGACGACGUUGAUAGGCCGGGUGUGUAAGCGCAGCGAUGCGUUGAGCUAACCGGUACUAAUGAACCGUGAGGCUUAACCUU
rnacentral:rRNA from 1 species